rnacentral:rRNA from 1 species
UAACAUUUCAAAAGCUUGCUUUUGAAGAUGACGAGCGGCGGACGGGUGAGUAAUGCCUGGGAAUUUGCCCAUUUGUGGGGGAUAACAGUUGGAAACGACUGCUAAUACCGCAUACGCCCUACGGGGGAAAGCAGGGGACCUUCGGGCCUUGCGCUGAUGGAUAAGCCCAGGUGGGAUUAGCUAGUAGGUGAGGUAAAGGCUCACCUAGGCGACGAUCCCUAGCUGGUCUGAGAGGAUGAUCAGCCACACUGGGACUGAAACACGGCCCAAACUCCUACGGGAGGCAGCAGUGGGGAAUAUUGCACAAUGGGGGAAACCCUGAUGCAGCCAUGCCGCGUGUGUGAAGAAGGCCUUCGGGUUGUAAAGCACUUUCAGCGAGGAGGAAAGGGUGUAAGUUAAUACCUUACAUCUGUGACGUUACUCCCAGAAGAAGCACCGGCUAACUCCGUGCCAGCAGCCGCGGUAAUACGGAGGGUGCGAGCGUUAAUCGGAAUUACUGGGCGUAAAGCGUGCGCAGGCGGUUUGUUAAGCGAGAUGUGAAAGCCCCGGGCUCAACCUGGGAACCGCAUUUCGAACUGGCAAACUAUAGUCUUGUAAAGGGGGGUAGAAUUCCAGGUGUAUCGGUGAAAUGCGUAGAGAUCUGGAGGAAUACCGGUGGCGAAGGCGGCCUCCUGGACAAAGACUGACGCUCACGCACGAAAGCGUGGUGAGCA